UGAGGUAAAGUGUGGGUACUCCUCACCUCUCCACCAAGACGUCUCACUGGCGCAGAAAAGUAAGCCAACAUACCCAUCAGGAGGGGCUCUCAAAUGGAGGGGGCAGACGCUUCCACCAGCAGUGGCGUGGGUGAGCAAAUUGCAUGGCUGUACUGUUACCCAAUUUAAUAUCUAGGUAAGAUUAAAAAUGACCCGCAGAUGUGUUUGUCUUUUGUAGGUGGUGGUGGUAAUGGUGGUGGUGGCGGCGAUAUAGAGCCCUGGGUCAUAGCUGUCGCUGUCAUUGUGCCACUUUUGGUUUUGGCUGCAGUGGCUGGAUCCGUUUUCUUCUUCUGCUUGAAGAAGAAGGGGAUUCAAGCAACGUGAGUUCCCAAUGAUUGAUUUAGAUCAAGGUGAUGAGUGUGUUCCUGCUCAUGGACAAGAGGGGUUGGUUGGACCAGUGUUGCCAAUUCCUUGAAGCAGAAUGUAGCAAAAAAUACAGGAUGGUCGCCAGAGCAGUGUUGCCACCUAUUUAUUGUAUUUUACCAGGUAAGGCCCAAUGAGCUAUAUAGUUGUUUUUCAGAAGCAACCUGGCUAUCACAAAUAAAGUGGCAUGUUACGUGGACAGCAGCUAAAUAUGCUAAACGCGUGAUGUUGAUUCUAAAAAAAGAGGGGAAAAAACAGAGGUCCCAGAAAAAAUGCACGUGACCACUGGGAGAGAGACACCGCAAACUUCAAAUAUACAGCAGGAUUCAGGGUCGGGAUUGAAUCCACGACCUCCUGGUAUUCAGGUCAAAAAGGUUCCUAAAGUAAACAAAAACAAACGGAGACUUUUCAUGGGAAGAAGAGUUUACAAUAUCAGAAAAUACAUCAAUGUUGACCUCUACAGCCAUUGCUGCACAGCCAUCAAUGGUGCUAUGGGCGGCAAUGUGUCCCAGCGGGUAGCGCAUUCGCCCCCUGCUGUUGCAGAGGUUCCACGGUUCGAAUCCAGCAGCGGCCAUUUUUUACAUACCGAGGCAGGUGUAGGUGUAUUAACCGUGACGAAACCGUGUGCCGCCAAGAUUCACCGUGGACAGCACGGCUCGGGAUUUUGUUGUUAUCAAUGUCUAACGUUUGUCUGCAGGAGCACGAGACGACAUGGCAGAGACGCUUCAGAAAGUUCCACACACCGACCGUCUCAGCAGCAGCAGCAACAUCAGCAGCAGGACGACCAUCAUCAGUACGAAUACAUCGACGGGAAAUUCCCAUCCCACAAUCUGGAGUCACAACAGCCACCCCCUGGCAGUGCCGAAUUCUACAAUGCGCAUGCAAAAACCACUUCCAACUGGAACAACCACAGAGAACAUCUGUAUGAGAACAACCUGAAUUCUACUGAAUCGAACCCACAAAACCAAGAGGGCGUUCACUACCAGCCUUUGAAGCCGUCCACAGAGAAAACUUAUGAUAAAUUACACCAUCCCACAUACGAGAAUGUAUGAGACUGAGCACUUUCAGCACAUUGCACUAAAACAACACGGUUAAAACCAAUGUACACGAGUUAAUUAGGAGUUUAAUUUAUUCGAGAAUUGUGACGUGCCCACGUAAUAAGCACUUUGGAGGUGGAGUUGGUGCAUACAAUAGGAUCAUGUUCGGUGAUGGUUCUAUCUUUAAGUCGUCCAAAGUGAGGUACGGGGGAAGGACAAUAAAAUAAAAACACGAAAAGCAGUUCUAAAGAAAUGCGUUUUAAAUCUAGGCUUAUACGUGUGGACUUUGGGCAUGGAUCUCCUUGUAUACGCGGUGGGUUUAUUCUGGCUCUCCAAUUUAUUGCCCAUAUCAUGAAAAUAAAAUGUACUCAAAUUUGCUAAACAUCUCAAGCAGAACUAUGCGAGCAUCACUUGUAAGCAGUUUGAGAUGCAGGUAGACCAGCACAGCGCGAGUUACAGCUUUAAUGACUCUCGGACAACACGAACUGUAGAGGGUUACUUUAUUUCGCUUCACGCGGAUUACUUGGUCAGGGAUGACACGCAAGUGGCGACGAGGCGAAGACAGCAUAGACGCGACGAAAGCGACGAAAGUGAUGACGCAAAGACAGCGACGAUGCGAAGACAGCGACGGCGUGAAGACAGUCGACCCCGAUCCCACGGCAGCCCCGAACCUCGCCUAUCUCCCCUUUUUAUCCAAGGCGUGGCCCUCACUCCGCCCUCGGCCACAAUCCCAUUCUCGACCUCUCUAGAUCUUCCCAGAUGGUUCCCUUCUUCUCAUAACUCCCCUAUGUUAAUAUUCACCCCUGUAAUUACUCCCCGUAACACACAUACACACACAGACAUGUAAUUAUCGGUGAUCAGCUGUAUUUGAGUCUGUAUUGAAAACUCACUUCUUCAAACUGGCCUCCAUGCCUAAUUUUGUUUUUAUUUCCUCCUUUUCAUACAUAGCCAAAUUGGGAUAUGUAUACAGAUUAAAUGCAUCUUGUAAAUGUAAAUAUUUAUCAUUAUUUUUAACUGAACAAUACAUGACAUAGGUCCUGGGCUUGGCCAGUUCCGAGUCGAGUGGCGAGUGAUGGAGGACGGUGCAGGGUUGGAUUGUAGAUCCCCGAUAUUCGGCUUUUUAAAUAAAAAUAAAACAUUUGUAUCGGCAUCUAUGCCACUGAUGUGCUCCGGAUGUUUUAUUCAUAUGUAAUGACCGAGAUAACAGACCACUUUCCUGACACAAGCGUACGGUCAGACAAACAAUCAGAAAGUAGUCCAAGGCCUCCCAUUGGUGCUUAGACGCCUUCACAGUGAUUGGUCGGGAGGAAAAAUUGAAAGGGAUUGGAGGAAAGAUUUGAUAGGUCAAAAGGCGGGAAGCAAGGGUAGACUGCAGAAGAACAGUUGAGAACCUUUGGUGGGGAAGGGUCAGGAUUGGCCGAAGGGAGUGGGGUGGUUGAAGCUUCCAGAGAGGGGGGCUUGGGAGGUAUAAAAUGAGACAGCACAAGGAGAGGGAACGUUGGAAAGAACACGGAGCUUGUCUCAUGAACCAAGCCUGGCCAUCGUUCGUGCUGUGUCUGAAUAAAAGGCUCUUAAGAAGUCACCACGUGUGUUGGCGUCACUACACAGGUCCAAUGAACCAACAAAACAAUUUAUUCGUGUUUCUUGAAAAUGUUAUGCUUGCCAGUUGGUAUAGCUUUUUCACCAUCCACUCCCUCGUGUGCCACAGUGCCGGCUUUCAUAGCUGCGAGCGAAGAGCACUUGCACCAACAGUCUGUUAGGCUAUGCGGGGGAUCUUUGUAUUGCUAUUUGCUAAAGGGUCCGGUAGAGGGAGCUCUGAUCCUAUUAGCGUGAGGUUGAGAGCAGCUGAGGUGUGUGCACUUCAGUCGCCAGCACGUUUGGGGUCGUACAACGCUAGCCGUGUCCCAUCAAUACCUCACCAACUCUUCUCCACAGCAUCAGUCUCUGGACGUAGCCUAUUCAAUGUUUUCUACAACAACAGUAUUAAUGUGCAUUUCGCAAUGCAUCAAUCGUUUACCUUGAAAAUGUAGAGAAGCCGUGAUUUAUCUACGGGACCUUUUUAGCCAGAAUAAAAAAUGAUGAAAAAUAAGAAUAGGUUUUACCCUUUCUGGAAAAAAAACAGGAGGUGUUAACAUGUUCAAACACCAAAUAUAUAUAAAUUUUGCAAGAAAGAAGUCUGCAUUAAUCACUCGAGCUAUAAGUGUUCUGAUACUUGUGUAGAGGAUGUUCGGGACAUCCUCACACACAAACAUCACACAACCACGGGUUACGGGUCACGGGAGGGCUGCCGUGGUCGACACGCAAUCCAAUAAUUGAGUGGAGGAAGUCUGAUCGGAUUGGCCCCGGAAGGGUUAGCAGUGGGGAAAACUCGAGAAGGAUUGGCAAGGGGGGGAAAACCCUGGGAGGGUUAACAAGGGCGACAAGCCCAAGAAGGGAAUGAGUGUUAAAAAAAGGGG